rnacentral:rRNA from 1 species
GCUUACGGCCACACCGCCUGGUUCACGCCCGAUCUCGUUUGAUCUCGGAAGCUAAGAUAGGGUGGGCCUAAGGUACUUGGAUGGGAGACCGCCUGGGAAUACCAGGUGUUGUAAGAU